rnacentral:rRNA from 1 species
AAAGGGUGCGUAGGCGGGUAGGUAAGUCAGUGGUGAAAUCCUGGAGCUCAACUCCAGAACUGCCAUUGAUACUAUCUAUCUUGAAUAUUGUGGAGGUAAGCGGAAUAUGUCAUGUAGCGGUGAAAUGCUUAGAUAUGACCCGGAACACCAAUUGCGAAGGCAGCAGGCUAAACGAAAAUUGACGCUGAGGCUCGAAAGCGUGGGGAUCAAACAGGAUUAGAUACCCCUGU